UCCAACUCUUCAACUCCAAAACCCUAACCUCCUACUCAUCAUCAAAAAGAAAACCUAACUCUUCAAACCCAUACACGGUUACACUUCCUCUCUUUCCCCUCUGCCUCCGACACCACCGCCACUGCUACUGUGACUGUUGGGCCGCCGCCAUCACCUCUAUUACUGACCUCUCUCUCUCUCUCUCUCUCUCUCUCUCUCUUCUCGGCCUAUUGCUUUAGGACAUCAAUUUGCUUCCGGCGGCUUACUUCCCUCUACAUUUUUUUCUCUCUUCAUCUUCUCUUUCCUCACCAGAUCGAUGACAAUCUCCCCGCCCUUUACUCCUCUUCCAUGGCCGUCGCCGUCUUCACCCUCACAUCCACCGCACACCACCACCACCAUCGUCUUCACCAUCUUCGUGCCAUUCUCGGAUGACGACGAUAUGAGAUGUGAAGGCUUCAUAUCUGCUGGAUUUAUGGUAGAUCUAAGAUGUGAGGGCUCUUCCUCCGCUGCUACAACCACCGAACCAACGACCAAUCGAUCCAAGAACGGGUUGCAGCUGGAGCCUCAAUUACCUAAUUAGGUGGAAUUAUGUGACAUCAAGGCAUCAAUAAAGCAACAUAAAUGGGUGAAAGCCAAAGAUAAAUGAUACUGCAAGUCAUGAUGCCCCAUCUAGAGAAGGAAUGUACAAUUAUAAAUUGGUAUACGCGUGAGUCAUAGUUUCCCAUUUUUCUUUGUUUUUCAUUAUUGUCGGUGUACUGAAUAUCUUGAGGUGAACUAUUAUUUUUCAAGCCAUGUUGGAGCUAUUAUGUUCAGCAAAAUUAGUUGUAGAGAAGGGGAUUGCUCAAGGUCGUAAUGGGUCUUAUAUUAAGCAGUUAUCUGACUACAUUGUUCUAGCUUUUGGUGGAAGCUUUGCAUAAGGAGCCUGAUACAGAAAUAUGUGAAAGCAUGUUGGAUGCAUUGAAUAAUGCAUACAGGUAGGUGAAAUCAUGGGAACUUUGAUAAAAACAUUCAAGGCCUCUUUCUUGCCUUUAUUUGAUGAGCUGUCAUCAUAUAUUACGCCUAUGUCGACUCUCAUUUCCCCCAAAUCUGAUUUCACUCGAUCGUGUCUGAGUAAGAGAAUCUGAUUUCCUUCUCUCAAUUUCGCUCUAUAGAUCACCAUGGUCGUCUAAAGAAGAGACCUCCAACGGUGGGAGUUGUUUUCUCAUUGGGUAGCUGCAAUGGCCGUGCAAAACAACUUCAUGCUUCUCCUAAAGAAUCGAAGGAUGUAUGAGCUUGUCUCCCUGUCUACCAUCCUUAAAUUAAAAAGGCUUUCGGCUACUGCAGAACCCUACAAAGAAAGCUGCUAACUGCACUGAUAUGUGAAUACUUGGACAAGGCACAACUGGGCCACACACAAAAAGUUUAUCUGCCAGAGUGUAAUUUGGGAAUCAUGUACUGUCCAAUAUGUUGCCAAUUUUAUUACAAUAAUUCUUAUAUGUGUUUUAGUUUCCUUCUAAUUUUUCUUGCAAUGGAUUUGUAUUAAUUUUAACUUCAAUUGCAACAAAAGGAUUCCUGGAAAGCUGAGUUAAAAGAAUUUAGUAGCAACAAUGGAUAUGAUCUUAACAAGAACAGAGAUAGUGCCCCUUUGCUUUUGGAUGUUCUUGAAGGAUUCUUGAAGUAUGAGGUACCAACCAUCCUAUAAUGUUUCUCUCGGAAGGGAUUUGACUGUGGUUCGAAGAGAAGAUGGUUUUGGUGGUGAUGGUGCGGUUCUUUAGUGCAUGAAGUGGGGAUUCAUCCCAAGUUUCACUAAGAAAACUGAUAAACCCGAUCACUACAAGAUGGUACAGUUGUGCUUCAUUCUUAGCAUCUUUUGACUUCACAUGAGUAGUUGGUUAUGUUUGAUUGUGAAUGUCUCAACAAUUACUAUCCGAGGGAUGUAGCCCGGUGAUUACGGGCUUACUCCAAUCCAAUGUAAUUUGGUGAGUCUCUGGGGUGAUGCUCGGCUGAGACUAAUCCCUAUUAAACUUGGCCAAUGCCUCCUUAUCACUAUGUUCUCAGUGGGGUUGUCCAUCUUGAGAGUGGGUCCAUUAAGAUCCCUUUUGUCCGGCACUCGAGUGGGUAGGGAUUCCUAUGGUCACAACUCAGCCCACACGAGAGCUGCCACGUAAUGGUUGCCCCCUCUUAGCAUUUCUUGUCACAUAGCAAAAAAAAAAAACCCAACAAAUGUUUAUGCUAUUUGAAAGUCAAAUUGUUCAUUUUUAUUGUGUUUA